rnacentral:rRNA from 1 species
ACAGCAGUCGCCGCGGUAAUACAGAGGGUGCGAGCGUUAAUCGGAUUUACUGGGCGUAAAGCGUGCGUAGGCGGCUUCUUAAGUCGGAUGUGAAAUCCCUGAGCUUGACUUAGGAAUUGCAUUCGAUACUGGGAAGCUAGAGUAUGGGAGAGGAUGGUAGAAUUCCAGGUGUAGCGGUGAAAUGCGUAGAGAUCUGGAGGAAUACCGAUGGCGAAGGCAGCCAUCUGGCCUAAUACUGACGCUGAGGUACGAAAGCAUGGGGAGCAAACAGGAUUAGAUACCCCCGUAGUCCCUGUCUCUUAUAA